UGGGGAAUUUUGGACAAUGGGGGCAACCCUGAUCCAGCCAUGCCGCGUGCGGGAAGAAGGCCUUCGGGUUGUAAACCGCUUUUAGUCGGAAAGAAAAGGCGGAGGCGAAUACCCUCCGUUCUUGACGGUACCGGCGGAAUAAGCACCGGCUAACUACGUGCCAGCAGCCGCGGUAAUACGUAGGGUGCGAGCGUUAAUCGGAAUUACUGGGCGUAAAGCGUGCGCAGGCGGUUCGUUGUGUCUGAUGUGAAAGCCCCGGGCUCAACCUGGGAACUGCAUUGGAAACUGGCGGACUUGAGUGUGGCAGAGGGGGGUGGAAUUCCGCGUGUAGCAGUGAAAUGCGUAGAGAUGCGGAGGAACACCGAUGGCGAAGGCAGCCCCCUGGGCCAACACUGACGCUCAGGCACGAAAGCGUGGGGAGCAAACAGG
rnacentral:rRNA from 1 species